rnacentral:misc_RNA from 1 species
CAAGUGGAAAAUGAAUUCUGCAACCGUAGAAGAAAAAAUUGAAAUGAUUCUGAUUUAUGGUGAAUGUAGGAGGAAUGUUGACGAUGCUGUUGCCUUGUAUGCUAAGCGUUUUCCAGACAAUGUUCGCUCACGUUCUUUUUUUUACAAAGUUGUGACUGCCUUUAUCUCGGAUGGCAGCGUACAAACUAAAAAAAGAAAACGAAGAACAACUGUUACAGGAGAAGUUAAUGAAAUAGCUAUGCUAGCAGCUGUUCACCACAACCCACAGAUGAGUCUACAUUCACAAACCAUGGUGGCGUUAAUCGACAUAACAUGCAUUACUGGAGUGUAGAAAAUCCCCACUGGUUACGACAAGUUGAACAUCAACGUCCUUGGUCGAUUAACGUUUGGUGUGGAAUCAUGGGGAACAGACUCAUUGGUCCUUAUUUUAUUGAAGCAUGACGGUUGCCCAGCGCAUAAUUCAAUAGCAGCACGGGAAAUAUUAGACUAUGAUUACAAUGGUCGGUGGAUUGGCAGAGGUGGCCCGAUUAAUUGGCCUGCUAGGUCGCCUGAUUUGACAUCGCCGGAUUUCUUUCUGUGGGGUUACCUAAAAGAUAAGGUUUAUCAACAAGUGCCAACAACUCGUGAAAACAUGG